UUUGUUUCCCAGGCAGCCGUAAUUUCAUUGUAAGUCUGAGUAGGUGGGUGUUAAUUAGGACACUUAGGUAGCAAGUGGAACAGAAGUGAUACUGGUACUUUGAAAAUUAUUAAUGUGCUUCUAUAUUUAGCUUGCCAAGGCACAUGGUUUUCACCCUCAUCUUCCUGAAGCAUCCUUCCACCUAGUGAGAUUAAAAGUGUUACAGAGGAAUGCAAAGAGGAAAUCCAACUUAUGCUGCUCAAAAAUAGGACUUUCCUGCACCCCUCGAGCUUAGUAAAGCAAACAAUGAAGAAAGGCUGGGGUAGCUCCCGUGUUUCUGUAUUUAUUAACCAACCUCCAGCUCCACAGAGGUCCACAGAGCAAGAGGAAGAAGGAAAGGCUGCUCCAACGUGCUGUGAGAAGAGACACAAAGAACAGGAGGAAGAAUGGCUGCUAUCAUGAAAUCAACCAUAAGAAAUGCAGCCAGGGCUGUGGAGAAAGAGGAAUCCUGCUCCAGUGCUGGUGGGAGUGUAGACUGCUGCAACCACCAUGGAAAUCAGUGUGGAAAUACCUCAAAGAACUAGGACUGGAAGUCCCAUUUGACCCAGCUAUUCCCCUGCUGGGGAUCUUCCCCAAAGAAUUAAAAGAAUAAUACUACAGUGAUAUAUGUGCACCCAUGUUUAUAGCAGCACAAUUAAAAAAAAAUUUUUUUAUUAGUACCUUUUUUUGGUAUUGGGGAUCGAACUCAGGACCUUGUGCUUGUGAGGCAGGCGCUGGAACCACUGAGCUAAAUCCCUGGCUCCUAUAGCAGCACAAUUUGUAAUAGCUGAAACUUGGAAGCAGCCCAAUUGCCCAUCAACUGGAGACUGGAUGAAGAAAAUGUGGUUUUCUUUAUAAAAUGGAGUCCUACUCAGCCAUAAAGAAUGAGAAACUAGAGACAUUUAUAGCUAAAUGGAUGCACAUUGAGGAAAUACUCUGAAGUGAAAUAAAUAGGGCACACUUGUAAAUACAAAUAGUUUCUCUGGUGUGAGAAACUGGAAGUGUAAAUAGUGACUAAAAAGUAUAAUAGAUAAUGUGAAAUAGGAAGAAAAGGGGCAAAGAGGAAGGGGAAGUGGGAGGGGUAGGGGAAAGGAAAGAAGGGAAUGGAAUUAAUAUGAGAAAAUGAAAAAAAGGAAACGAAGUCUUUGUAAAUAGGGAGGGCAGGGGAAGGGGGAGAAAAAUAAGACCAAGAUGGAUUAUGUAAAGGUGCAAAUUUCCAAUGAUGAAUGUCAUUAUAUUGUACACCUAAAAUGUACCAAUAAAAUUAAUUUUUAAAAUAAAAUAAAAUAGGGCUGGGGAUUUAGCUCAGUGAUUCUGCCGCCUGCCUCGCAGUCCCAAGGUCCUGAGUUUGAAACCUGAUACCAAAAAAAUAAAAUAAAUAAAAUAGAGGUAUAUGAAUAACUCUGCCAAAGAAGUUUCACAAAAACAAUACUGGAGCUAGGCUGUGAAGGUAAGUAGGUAAGUAGUUCUGGAAGUCCUCUUUCUGGAGUGUCUUUAGUUGGGCCACUGAGCUGGCCUUGAUGUUCUGAACUGACUCAAAGCUUUUACCUUUCACAGUCAUUUUGAUUUUGGGGGAAAGCCAGAAGUCACACAGUGUCAGAUCUGGUGAAUGAAGUGGAUGAGGACAAACUGUAAUGUUUUUAUUUGACAGAAAUUCUGUCAACAUUUUGCAUCAAUUCAGCACAUCAGGGAAGACAUGAAAAGACAUGAAUUGCUUCAAAAAGUGCCAAGAACAAUGGGAUAAGUGUGUUCAAAGUGAGAAGAAAUAUUUUGAGCAGGAGUAAUGGCAAUGUGUUUUUUACCACAAUAAUUUUUUGUUUAAACAUUCAUCAUAUUUUGAUCACCUAUUGUGUAUCACAGCCAUCACCCCGGGCUGAGUCUGAGCACCAAAGAAAGAGCCCCAUGGCCCCUAGAGUUGCAC
rnacentral:lncRNA from 1 species